UGCAUUCACUACUGUAAGUCGCUCUGGAUAAGAGCCUCUGUUAAAUGACUAAAA
rfam:Salmo salar isolate Sally breed double haploid chromosome ssa05, whole genome shotgun sequence.